rnacentral:rRNA from 1 species
GACGAACGCUGGCGGCGUGCUUAACACAUGCAAGUCGAACGGUGAACUCCGCUUGCGGGGGGAUCAGUGGCGAACGGGUGAGUAACACGUGGGCAACCUGCCCUCAGCUCUGGGAUAACUCCAAGAAAUUGGGGCUAAUACCGGAUAUGACCGCUGACCGCAUGGUCUGGUGGUGGAAAGAUUUAUCGGCUGGGGAUGGGCCCGGGGCCUAUCAGCUUGUUGGUGGGGUAGUGGCCUACCAAGGCGACGACGGGUAGCCGGCCUGAGAGGGUGACCGGCCCAACUGGGACUGGGACAAGGCCCAGACUCCUACGGGAGGGAAGGGGGGGGAAUAUUGCGCAAUGGGCGAAAGCCUGACGCAGCGACGCCGCGUGGGGGAUGACGGCCUUCGGGUUGUAAACCUCUUUCAGCAGGGACGAAGCGAAAGUGACGGUACCUGCAGAAGAAGCACCGGCCAACUACGUG